rnacentral:rRNA from 1 species
GACGAACGCUGGCGGCGUGCUUAACACAUGCAAGUCGAACGAUGAACCUUCCAUGAUCUAUUCGUAGAGAUUGGAAGCGGAUUAGUGGCGAACGGGUGAGUAACGCGUGAGCAACCUGCCUUAAACAACGGGAUAGCCUCGGGAAACCGGGAUUAAUACCGUAUGAGACCCCGCCUUCCAAUGAAGAAGAGGUUAAAGAUUUAUCGGUUUAAGAUGGGCUUGCGUCUAAUUAGCUAGUUGGUGAGAUAAAAGCCCACCAAGGCAACGAUCAGUAACCGGCUUGAGAGAGUGAACGGUCACAUUGGAACGGAGACACGGUCCAAACUCCUACGGGAGGCAGCAGUGGGGAAUAUUGCACAAUGGGGGAAACCCUGAUGCAGCGACGGCGCGUGAGCGAUGAAGGAAUUCGUUUCGUAAAGCUCUGUCCAAGGGGAAGAUAAUGACAGUACCCUUGGAGGAAGCCCCGGCUAAAUACGUGCCAGCCGCCGCAGUAAAAC